rnacentral:rRNA from 1 species
AUUGAACGCUGGCGGCGUGCUUAACACAUGCAAGUCGUGCGGUAACAGGCGUAGCAAUACGUGCUGACGAGCGGCGAACGGGUGCGUAAUACAUGGGAAUCUGCCUUUUAGUGGGGAAUAACCCGGCGAAAGCCGGGCUAAUGCCGCAUAAGAUCUUUGGAUGAAAGCGGGGAGUCGUAAGACCUCGCGCUGAUAGAUGAGCCCACUGCC